rnacentral:lncRNA from 1 species
CCGACGAACCUCUCCACUCAAUCCGUGGCACCCCCAGCAUAGCCAAUGUCACUGUCUUAGCGUGAUAGCCCAGAAUAGAAUGACACGGAGACAACCAAUCCAUGCCCAAUAUUACAUCAAAAUCGAUCAUACUAAGCAUCAAAAGGUUUACUCGGUCUCUAAAACCUCGAUAAUCACCACACAAGACUAGUAUACGUGGUCCACAACAAUCGUAUCACCCAUAAAAGUAGAUACAUGAGUAGAUGAAAUAAGAGAAUAGCGAGACAUAUCCAAAUAAUGAGCAAAAUAUGAUGAUACAUACAAAAAAAGGGAACCAUGAUGAAAUAAUACAGAGGUAUCCUUGUGGUAAACUGAGACAAUACAUGUGAUCAUAGAACCUGAAGCAAUAGCAUCUGGUCUGCGUGGGAGUGCAUAGAAACGGGUCUGACCACCACCUGGUCGAGUUCCCUCUCUAGGGGAACCACUAGCUGACUGUCAUCCACCCCUAUCUUACUUGAUAGGUGGUAAAGCAAUUGGUGCAAAAGUCGAUUGUAUGAAUCCUCUAUUGACACGAACCCCCAUGAAGAUAAGGACACUGCCUCCCUAUAUUCCCCAACUCCCCACACUCAAAAGAACCCCCUUGUGCCAGUGGCAGGGACUAAAAGGAACCCCUAACACUGGGAUAACUGGUAGAAGAACCUGGCAUGGAGGAGCCUUGAACUGAUAGAGCACAAUCAUACUCUGGGCUGGGAGAGCACUAUGUGAUGAAUGGACCUGAUGAGAAAUGUGAGAACCAUGGCCUGAUGAUUCCCUACGGUAAACUGGGCGAGCUGACUGAGCAUGUAUGAAUGGACGAUCUGUGUUGGACACCAUUUUUCUAAUACAAGAUGAUAUUCUUAUGUGUUUGUUUCUUGUUUCUUUCUCUCUUCAGUAGCUAGUAUCACAUUCAUUAUCAUUUUGUUUCUCUUUUAGAAUAUGAAUCUGUCAUUAUAUUUGGUAUUCCAAUUGUUUUAGAGGAGGAAAGAAUUCACUUUAUUAUAAAGGUAUAAUUCUUUUUUUUUUCAUGUGACUUCUUAUGUAGCAUUCUUGAAGGAAGUGAAGUCAAUUACUUCAGUGAAAAGCUUAACUUGUGGAAAGUUGGGUUUAUAAGAUUUACUUAGUUCGAAUUAGGAGCGAUCUUAAAGUAAUUACACAUUGAAAUUACUAUCCUUCAUGAUUUAGUAAGUGGUUUUGUGUGAGAAAAAAUUAUUUGAUUUGACAUUAUCUAUCUUGUACUAAGUACAUUUUAUAUUGCUAUUUUGUUAUUUGGUUACUAUGCUAAAAGAGUAUUUGCUUCACUUUUAUUUCAUGUUUGUUAUAGAAAUAUAUAUUUGUGAAUGUAAACGUGUUCAUGAUGAAACUAAACAAAAUAUUAUUAUUUACAUACAAAAAAUAUAAUAGCGACAUUAAUGUAAAUGUCAAACAUUUAAUGUGACAUUUUGCUAUGUUGUAAAAGAUAUGUCACUAAUUUUUUUAAUGACAUUCACGUAAAGUGAAAACGACAUUUUGUAUAUGUUGUGAAUUUUUCUAGUGAUAUUUACCAAAUUGUCGGAUAUUACAAUAUGACAUUUUGUGAAGAUCAUACGUAAAUGUCGUAUUCUUUUAGUAAUAUUAAUUUAAUUGUCGAAAAUUUUAAGUGACAUUUCUUAUAUGUUGUGAACCAAAUGUCGUAACAUUCUUACCAAUAUUUACCUAAAGAUCGUAAACUAAAUAUCAUAAAUUACUUAUUGAUAUCUAAAUGUUGUAAAGUAAGUGUCACAAAUUUCUUAUCGAUAUUUAUCUAAAUGUAGUAAAAUAAGUGUCAUAAAUUUUUAUUGACAUUCACCUAAAUGUCGUAAAGUGAGUGUCAUAAUUUCUUACCAUAUUUACCUAAAUGUCGGAAAAUUACUGACAUUGAAAUUAACAAAACUUGACGCAAAUAUAAAUUAAAUAUCGAUGAACAAAUUUGUAGCAUUUCGACAUUUACUAAAUAUCGUCAUAUCUCCAUUUUCUUGUAGUAUUUGUUAAAUAUAUUCUUAUGCAGUUUGAUCCUUUAAGUUUGCUAAAAAUAAUCACUUUUUAAUCCCCUCGAAUAUUUAACAAAACAUUAUUUGUUAGAUUUAGCCAAAACUAUGAAAAAAUAGAAUUUUAUAUAAAAUGAAAAAAUAGAGGUAUAAUUUUUGCAGUUUUUGCUAUUUUGUUCUAUUUCUGUAGUCGGUGCAACUUCUUAGUGCAGUUCCUAUUCUUCUUAUUUAUUUGUGGUGUCUGAUGCAGUAUUUUUUUGUCGCAAUUUUUAAGAUUUGAUGGGACUUUCGUAGUUUUAUCGAAUCAUUUUUCACAAGCCCCAUUAAAUUUGACUAUCAAAGUUUAUUAAAUAUUUAAUAGUGGCUAAAAUUGCUCAUUUCUUUUGCAAGCUUAAAGGAUCAAAACUAUUCAACAAACUUAUUCCAAAAAUAAGGGACCAUUUUUGCCAUUCUCUAGUCUUAAUAAUCAUCAUAGCACUAAGGAUUGGAAUCUUUACACAAAUAAUCAGACAUAUUUAUUAUUUAUUCAAUUUACAAAAAAUAUAUAUUGAGUAUAUACAAUUAUAUAUAUAUAUAUAUANNNNNNNNNNNNNNNNNNNNNNNNNNNNNNNNNNNNNNNNNNNNNNNNNNNNNNNNNNNNNNNNNNNNNNNNNNNNNNNNNNNNNNNNNNNNNNNNNNNNNNNNNNNNNNNNNNNNNNNNNNNNNNNNNNNNNNNNNNNNNNNNNNNNNNNNNNNNNNNNNNNNNNNNNNNNNNNNNNNNNNNNNNNNNNNNNNNNNNNNNNNNNNNNNNNNNNNNNNNNNNNNNNNNNNNNNNNNNNNNNNNNNNNNNNNNNNNNNNNNNNNNNNNNNNNNNNNNNNNNNNNNNNNNNNNNNNNNNNNNNNNNNNNNNNNNNNNNNNNNNNNNNNNNNNNNNNNNNNUAUAUAUAUAUAUAUAUAUAUAUAUAUAUAUUAUAUGAAUUAUACUUAUAUCAUACAUAUGACAACUAUUUUUAAUUUAAGCAGAUGAGUUAAUGACUAUUUAGAUCAAUUCUGUCACGACCUGGAUUGCUCACCCCCGGAAGUCGUGAUGGGCGCCUUUUCGUAGAAGCUAGGCAAGCCACGAAAUUAGGAAUCUUUAACUCAUUUGUUUUAGCCCUUUUUACAACUUAUUUUAACAAGUGAUAAACAUUUAAAUAACAACGGAAUAUGAGAUUAAGCGGAAGACUUGGACAAAAUUAAUCAAAAUAAUACGGAAAUCAACAUGUGCAUCUACCCAGAAACUGGUGUCACAAUAUUAACAAACUAACUAUGAUAACUACAUACAAAUUGUUUGAAAGAAAAAAAUAUCGUCUGUCUCGGAUACAAGUGAUAAUAGAACAUAAUAAAAGAUAGAGGAGACACCGGGUCUUGCGAACGCUUGCAGGACUAUCUCGGAAUCUCGAUGGGCUGAAGCAUGGCUUCCCUACUGCUGCUGACCAUGUGCUGCUCCGGUAUCUGCACAAAGUGCAAAGUCUAGUAUCAGCAGAACCAAUCCCAUGUGCUGGUAAGUGCCUGCCUAACCCCGAUGAGGUAGUGACGAUGCUAGGACAAAACUCAAGAUAAAUCUAUUUAGUUAUAUAAUAUAUGGCAGAAAGUAAACAGGAAUAAGUAGUUUAAAUGGGAGGGGGUACAUACUUCAGGGAAACAUACCAAAUCCAACAUAACCUUAAUACAAUAUGAAAGGACAAUUCAAUAUCUACAAUAAUACAAUAGCAAUACUAUUGCGACGUGUAACCCGAUUCACACACACACACACACACACACACAUAUAUAUAUAUAAGUGUUGUGGCGUGCAACCCGAUUCACACACACACACACACACACACACACACACACACACACAUAUAUAUAUAUAUAUAUAAAACUGUUGCGGCGUGCAAUCCUAUCUAAUAUAAUAUUUAUAGUGUGCAACCCGAUCUAUAUAUAUAUAACUGUUGCGGCGUGCAACUCGAUAUAUAUAUAUAUAUAUAUAUAUAUCAACUCUAUUUGUGACCUUUUCUCGUAUGUGGGACUCUCUAUCUUCUUUGGUAGAUAAUCGAUCGUCUUUCAUUUGGAUAGUGAGUAGUUUUUAUAAUAAUAAGUCAAGUCAAUAAUAAUAGAACUGGAGGAGUGAAAGCCACUUGACUGUAAGGAAAGGAGCGAAAAGCCAGGAUGGCUUGGUAAGCAAGCAAUCCGUUAUGUGGGCGCCAACUCCAAGUUCCUUCUCUUCUUUCUUUUUUCAAGUCACGAUCAGAAUGAUGACAUUCUUUUUUGCUUUAGAAAGGAGAAGGGAAAAGGCCAAUUUGCACCACCAUCCUUCCCCAAAGAUUCGGUUAGUGUGCAUAGACUUCUACUUUCCUUAGGCGACUUUCUUGCCUUACGAAAAGAAGUUCAUUUCAUUUUCCCGGGAAUUUUGGAAAAAAGCCGCUUCCUCCUUGAAGGCGUAAGGAAGAGCCUAUUCAUGUGCAGUUGAUUCUCGAACGAAGCGAAGAAUGACAGCGGCUCUCUCUUCCCAGUAGCAGGCGAGGCAAAAAAGACCGCUAACGCCCCUUGCAUUUCCCUCUUUGAGUUGGCCUAUCAGAAAGAAAAAACGAGUGAAUGCGCUAGAUGUCUAUCGUUUUUUCAAAUUACUGGUACUGGCUUAGAGUGAGAACCCAGUCCAUAGCUUUACUUACCAGUUAUCUGUCGAUUGCCUUCUCUCCCAUUACCUUAAAGUUCAAUCAGAAGCCUAGAAGAAAGACUGUACCUACCAAUCCAAUAAGCAGAUAGAGUAGAAGAGAAGGCCCGGAACAAGGUUGACUGAGACUGCCUGCGGCGUGCAACUCGAUCCAAUAUACGUUCAAUAGUGAUCAUAAUAACAGUCCCGACUAGGGAUCAAUAAUAAAUUACACUAUCUCGAUAAGGGAAUUCAAUAGUACAAGUAUAUACGUUCAUGUAAGGGAAAAAAAGUUAAAACCAGUCUUAUCUCAACGUCUACUCAUCUCAGUUAUCACCCUUUCUCAAUCAUAAGCAACUUCCAUGAAAAUAAACUAAAUCGUUUCACAUUAUCAAGAAUUCACCCCCUAAUGCAUUCAUAGUAUCACUAAGAAUACAACAAGUAUCAAUUUAAGACUCACGUUCAUGCUCGACUCCAAUAUAUAGAUACUCUUAACCAUAUCUAUACGUCGUACUUAACAAGAAGCAAAUAGGAAAUAGGACUCAAAUCCUAAUCCCUCAAGUUAGGGUUAGACCAGACACUUACCUCAAAAUUUUUCGACCAACUCAUGCCUCAAACACAGCUUUUCCUUUCAAAUUUGGCUCGAAAUCAAUUGUGUCUAUAUAUAAUCCACUUCAUAACAUCAACAAACGCUACAUAAUUCAGUUCCAAUGAUAAAUUAUAGCUUUCUAAUCAUUCUUACGAAAAAUGAAAAAAUCGAUCUCGUGUCCACUUGAUUAAAACACGAGGUUCGAACCAAAACCUAAUUAUCCAUUUACCCUUUAUCUCAUAUUUUAAGCCUAGAAAUCCAGUGAGUGUUGAUGAAAAAGAAAAAAAAAACAAGUUAAGGAUUACUUACUCAAGAGAUUAUAGUGAAGAAAUGCUCCAAAAUUCUCCUAAGAUCUUUGGAGAAGAAGAGGUUUGUGAAAUUUUUAUAAAAUCCCGAAAGAAUGCUUUUUUUUUUGGUCUUUUAAAAGUCACUCGGCAAAAAUGCCCUUCGCGUUCGUGAAGGACCCUUCACAUUCACGAUGGAUCAUACUGGUUAAGCCUUUGCGUUUGUGUAGACGGGUUCGCAUUUGUGGAGAAAGACCCCCUCGAGCCCUCGCAUUCACAUCCAAAAGGUCUCGUUCGUAUAGGGUAAUUUCCCCACCCCUAUCCAGGCCCACUUGGCCUUCGCUUUCGCGUGACCAGGACCGCGUUCGGAAAGGUAUAGCCCCCACUACCACGCGUGCGUGACCUGGGCUACGUGUUCGGGUAGAAGGAAAUUCCCUUCCUCAAAAUUUACACAUUGUGUUCGCAUUGGUACUCCCACGAAUGCGAAGAAGAAGGCAUCAGAAAUCCAACAGCUGAAAAUAUGCUAUAUUUCCUAAGUCAAAAACCUCCAGAAACACAUCUAAAAUACACUCGAGCCCUUAGGGUUACUAAACAAAUAUACGUACUAACUCAACAACAUCAUAUGAAUUUAUCCGUGCGAUCAAAUCACCAAAAUAACCUAAAAACAACGAAUUAAACCCCAAAAUCAAAGGAUUUUUCUCAAACUUCAUAAAAUAUCAACUUUAACAAUUUAGGUCUGAAUCACGUCAAAAGAUAUCCGUUUUCACCAUAUUUUUCAAAAACAUCUUUAAUUAUAUAUAAGACCUAUAUCAGGCGCCGGAACCAAAAUAUAGGCCCGAUAAUAACAUGUUUUAAUCAAAUUUCUUUCUAAUUUCCUUAAACAAUUUCAGAAAAUAAUUUCUUUUAAAAAUUUAUUUCUCGGGCAUGGGACCUCAUAAUUCGAUUCCAGGCAUACGUCCAAGUCCCGUAUUUUCCUACGGACCCUCCAGGACAAUCGAAUUAUGGGUUCGAGUCCGUUUACUGAAAAUAUUGACUGAUUUUCAUAUUUAAGCUUUCCAAACUGUGCAUGCAAAUCGAAGUGACUAUAAAAGAGGUUUUCAAGGCCUCGAAAACACAAAAUUUAAUUUAAAAACUAGUGAUGUCCCUUGGGUCAUCACAUUCUCUACCUCUAAAAGAACCAUUCAUCCUCGAACGGACAUAAGAAGGAAGUACCUGAGUCUGGAAAAAGAUGAGGAUAACGGCUCCGCAUAUCAGACUCGGACUCCCAAGUUGAUGCCUCAGCAGGCUGACCUCUUCAUUGAACACGAACAGAAGGGAAACUCUUCGACCUCGAUUGACAAACCUGCCGGUCUAGAAUAGCCACCGGCUCCUCCUUAUAAGACUAGUCCUUGUCCAACUGGACAGUGCUGAAAUAUAACACGUGUGAUGGAUCGCCGUGAUACCUCCAAAGCAUGGACGCAUGAAACACCGGAUGAACGACUGAUAAGCCCGACGAUAAUUCAAGUCUAUAAGCCACUUCUCCCACUUGAUCAAGAAUCUCAGGACCAAUGAACCUAGGGCUAAUCUUUCCCUUCUUUCUGAAUCUCAUCACGCCCUUCAUAGGCGACACUCAAAACAAUACCCGCUCACCGACCAUGAAAGUUAAAUCUCGAACCUUGCGGUCGGCAUAGCUCUUUUUCUUGGAUUGAGCUGUACGAAGACUAUCCCAAAUGAUCCUGACCAUGUCCAAGGCCUCUUGAGCCAGAUGCGUACACAACAACCGAGCCUCUCCUGGCUCAAACCAUCCAACCGGAGACCGAUACCACCUAGUAUAUAAAUCCUAAAAUAGAGCCAUCUGGAUACUUGAAUGAUAGCUAUUGUUGUAGGAAAACUCUAUUAAAGGCAAAAACGGAUCCCACGAGCCUCCAAUGUCAAUGACACAAGCUCAGAGCAUAUCCUCCAAAAUUUGAAUAGUCCACUUGGACUGUCCGUCCGUCUCAAGAUGAAAUGAUGUGCUCAACAUAACCUGCGUGCCCAACUUUCGCCGAACUGCUCUCUAGAAAUGCGAGGUAAACUUCAUAUCUCGGUCCAAAAUGAUAGACACAGGCACACCAUGAAUACGAAAUAUCUCCCGGAUAUAGACUCAGCUAACCUCUCGGAUCAAUAGGAGACUGCCACAGGGAUGAAAUGCGCUAACUUGGUUAGCCUAUCAACAAUAACCCAUACUGCGUCGAACUUCCUCCGAGUCUACGAGAUUCCAAUAACGAAAUCCAUAGUGAUCCGCUCCACUUCCACUCGGGAAGCUCAAUCCUCUUAAAUGAUCCACCAGGCCUCUGAUGCUCAUACUUAACCUGUUGGCAAUUCAAACACGAGCCAUAUAUGCAACGAUAUCAUUUUUUAUUCGCCACCAAUAAUACUGCCGUAAAUCUUGAUACAUCUUUGUGGCGCCCGUAUGAAUAGAGUACCGGUAGCUAUAGGCCUCCUCUAAAAUCAAAUCCGGAAGCCCAUCCACAGUAGGCACACAAACUCGACCCUGAAUAUAAAAACUCCAUCAUCAUCUAAAGUAACCUGCUUGGAACCUCUGCGUUGCACCGCGUCUCUAAGGACACACAAAUAGGGAUCAUUAUACUGCCGAUCAUGGAUACACUCCAAUAAAGAAGAACGAGCAACCGUGCAAGGUAACACAUGCCAAAACAUCCAAUCUCAUGAAUUGAUUGGACAAAGUCGGAACAUUCAAGGCAAGCGGUCUCUCACCAACUCGAAUAUAAGCAAGACUUCCCAUACUGGCUGACCUUUUACUUAAAGCAUCAACCACCAUAUUGUCCUUUCCCGGAUGAUAUAAAAUGGUGAUAUUAUAAUCUUUUAACAACUCCAACAACCUCCCCUGCCUCAAAUUCAACUCUUUUUUCUUGAACAAAUAUUGAAGACUCUUUUGAUCCAUGAAUACUUAACAUGCCACACCAUAUAUAUAAUGCCUCCAAAUCUUCAAUGUGUGAACUAUGGCUUCCAACUCCAAGUCAUGAAUCAGAUAGUUCUUCUCAUGAAUCUUCAACUGCCAUGAAGCAUAGGCAAUGACCUUGCCAUCGUGCAUCAACACUGCACCAAGCCCAAUACAAGAAGCAUCACAAUAAACUGUAUAAGGCCCUGAACCUGUGGGAAAGAUCAACACCGGUUCUGUAGUCAGAGUUGUCUUGAGCUUCUGAAAGCUCGCUUCACACUCAUUCGACCAUCUGAACAGGCACCCUUUUGGGUCAACUUGGUCACUAGGCUUCAAUAGAUGAAAACCCCUCUAUGAACCGAUGAUAGUAGCCUGCCAAUCCCAAGAAACUCCAAAUCUCUAUAGUUGAUACUGGUCUAGGCCAGCUCUUGACUGCCUCAAUCUUUUUCGGAUCCACCUGAAUACCCUCUACUGAUACAACAUGACCCAGAAAAGCAGGUGAACUCAACUAGAACUCACACUUCGAGAACUUAGUAUAUAACUAACUAUCCUUCAGAGUCUGAAGAACCACUCUAAGGUGCUGCUUGUGCUCUUCCUGGCUGCGAGAAUAUAUCAAUAUAUCAUCAAUGAAGACUAUCACGAAUGAAUCCAAAUAGGACUGAACACUCGGUUCAUCAGAUCCAUAAAAGCUCCUGGUGCAUUUGUCAACCCAAAUGACAUAACCAAGAACUCAUAAUGCCCAUACCGAAUGCAGAAAUCUAUUUUAGGGACAUCGGAUGCCAUAAGCCUCAACUGAUGGUAGCCAGAUCUCAAGUCAAUCUUUGAAAAUACCCCGGCACGCUGAAGCUGAUUGACAAAUCAUCAAUACUCGACAACAGAUACUUAUUCUUGAUUGUGACCUUGUUCAAUUUUUGGUAAUCAAUACACAUUCUCAUUGACCUAUCCUUCUUUUUAGCAAACAACACUGGCGCAUACCCAAGGUGAAACGCUGGGUCUAAUGAAGCCAUUCUCAAGAAAAUCUUGAAAUUGUUCCUUAAACUCUUUCAACUCAGGCAAGGCCAGACGAUACAGCAGAAGAGAAAUGGAUUGAGUGUCCGGAGCCACAUCAAUGCAAAAGUCAAUAUCCUUGUAGGAGGCAUACCCGGUAGGUCUGAACGGAAUACCUUAGGAAACUCAUGAAAAAUGGGCACAGAAUCAAUAGAGGGAACCUCAAUACUAGAAUUGCCAACAUAUGCAAAAUAGGCCAAACAACCCUUAUUGACCAUACGUCGAGCCUUCACAUACGAGAUAACACGACGGGUAGAAUGAAUAGGAGUCUCUCUCCGCUCUAAAUGAGGAAAACCCGGUAAGUCCAAAGUCACAGUCCUAGCAUGACAUUAUAAGAUAUCAUGGUAAGCUGAUAACCAGUCCAUCACUAAUAUAACAUUGAAAUCGACCAUGUCCAGAAGCAACAAAUCUACACGAGUCUCAAGACCCUUAAUAACAACUACACAAGAAUAAUAGACUCGAUCUAUCACAAUAGAAUCACCCACCGAUGUAGACACAUAAACGGGAACACUCAACGAAUCACUAGGCAUAACUAGGUACGGUGCAAAAUAAGAUGACACAUACGAGUAUGUAGACCCUGGAUCAAAUAACAAUGAAGCAUCGCUAUCACAAACCAUAACAGUACUUGUAAUCACCACAUCUAAGGCCUCAGCCUCGGGCCUGGGUGGAAGAGUAUAACAUCGGGGAUGAGCCCCACCACCCUGAACUACAUCCCUGGGAUGACUUGCUGUUGGUUGGCCUCCAUCUCUAGCGGUCUGGGCUCUACCUCUAGGACCUCUACCUUCACCUCUAGCACCUCUACCCCCACCUCUAGCUGGCUGGGCGGUUUGUGGAACACAUGGUGCCGGAAACAUAGCACGGGAACCCUACUACUGCGACUGAGUACCACCAACCUAGGACAAACUCUCUGGAUAUGACAAUACCCAGCACACUCAUUAAAUCUACCUGAAUGUUGCGGCUGAGGAAAUUGAGACUGACCUUGGCGACCUGAAUGACCAUCCCAAAAGCUCUAGAUUGGUGGUACACUGAUAGGAGAUGGUGGUGCACUGUAAGGCUGCUGAUCAGAAUACUGCAUCUGAGGACCACGACCACCUGAAACACCGUGAGAAACCUAAAGAGCUGACUGAGAUGGCUUAGAAGGAUGGCCUCUAUCUCUACCUCCAGACGAGAUAUCACUGAAUCUCCCUGAAUGACGGGGCCUUUUAUCCGCUCCACGACCACUCCCCUAUGAUAGUACCAUCUCAACUCCCCAAUUCACAUUGGCUGCCUCCUAGAAGGAUAUCUCACUCCAAGUCUCUCUAGCCAUCUGGAGACGAAUCGGCUGAAUGGGUCCAUCAAUAAAUCGUCUCACUCUAUCCCUCUCAGUGGGAAGUAUAAUAAGGGCAUGACGAGCCAAAUGAAUCUGGUCUCAUACUGGGUGACAGUCAUAGAUCCCUGUUAAAGGAGCUCGAGCUGCCUCCGAUAAGACUCUCGCUAUGUAAUAGGGAGAAACUUCUCUAGAAAUAGCUGUGCGAACUGCUCCCAGGUCAAGGCUGGCGAUCCUGCUGGUCUAGCUAAGCACUAAUCCCUCCACCAAGUCUUGGCGGAUCCAGACAAGUGAAAUGUAGCAAAAUCGACCCCAUUGGCCUCAACAACCCCCAUGUUCUUGAGAACCUCAUAGCAUCUGUCUAAAUAAUUCUGGGGGGGUCCUCAAUAGAUGCACCACUGAAAGUGGUAGUGAAGAGCUUGGUGAACCUAUCCAGCCUCCACAAAAAAUCGGCAGAUAUAACUGCUCUAUCGUCGGCUUGAGCUACCACACCCGGCUGAACCUCUGGAGUCUGAAUCCGCAGAGCUGCCUGCUCUAGAGUCCGAGUAGCAGGAGUUUGGGCUCCUCCUCCAACCUGAGAGACGGCGAGUGCUACAGGAAGAAAGCUUGCUCUGGUGACACUCUCCAUGAGGCCUACUAAUCGGAUCAGAGCAUCCUGCAGAACUGGGGUAGCAAUAAACCCCUCUAUACCAAUCCCUCAGACUCUACUACGCUUGUCCGCGAAUUGCGAGACCGAUAUAACAUAGAGCUCUGAUACCAACUUAUCACGACCCAGAUUUAUUACCCUUAAGAGUCGUGAUAGUGCCUACUCGUAGAAGCUAGGCAAGCCACGAAAUUAGGAAUCUUUAACUCUUUUGUUUUAGCCCUUUUUACAACUUAUUUUUACAAGUGAUAAGCAUUUAAUUAACAAUGAAAUUUGAGAUUAAGCGCAAGACUUGGACAAAAUAAACCAAAAUAAUAUGGAAAUCAACAUGUGCCUCUACCCAGAAACUGGUGUCAUAACAUUCACGAACUAACUAUGGUUACUACAUACAAAUUGUUUGAAAGAAAGAAAUACCGUCUGUCUCAGAUACAAGUGAUAACACAACAUAAUAAAAGAUAGAGGAGACAUCAGGGCAUCCGGACGCCUGCAGGACUACCUCGAAGUCUUAAUGGACUGAAGGCUAGCCCCCGUACCGAUGUUGACCAAGUACUACGCCAAUAUCUGCAUAGAGUACAGAGUGUAGUAUCAUCACAACUAAACCCAUAUGUUGGUAAGUGCCCGGCAUAACUCCGACGAGGUAGUGACGAGGCUAGGACCAGACUCCAGUUAAACCUGUACAGUUAUAUAAUAUAUAGCGGAAAGUAAGGAAUAAGUAGUUUAAAUGGGACGGGGUACAUGAUUCGGGGAAACAUACCAAAUCCAACGGAAACUUAAUACAAUAUGAAAGGACAAUUCAAUAUCUACAACAAUACAAUAGCAAUACUGUUGCGGCGUGCAACCCGAUCCCUUGUCAUUUAACAUUGUUGCGGCGUGCAACCCGAUUCACACACAUAUAACUAUUGUGGCAUGCAACCCGAUCCACACAUAUAUAACUGUUGCAGCGUGCAGCCUGAUCCAAUAUAAUAUUCGUUGCGGCCUGCAAUCCAAUCCACACACAUAUAACUGUUGCGAAAUGCAGCCCGAUUAGAUAUAAUAUCUGUUGCGGCGUGCAACCCGAUCAUAUAUAUAUAACUGUUGCAGCGUGCAACCCAUUCAUAGAUAUAAUUUUUGUGGUGUGCAACCUGAUCCACACAUAUAUAUAACGGUUGCGGUGUGUAACCUCAUCUAAUAUAAUAUCUGCUGCGGCAUGCAACCCAAUCCAUAUAUAAAUAACUAUUGCGAUGUGCAAUCCUAUCCAAUAUAAUAUCUGUUGCGGCGUGUAACCCGAUCCAUAUAUAUAUAUAUAUAUAUAUAUAUAUAUAUUAACUAUGCGGUGUGGAACUCGAUCUAAUAUACAAUAAAAAUUAAUCAUAAUAACAGUCCUCGCAAGGGAUCAACAAUAAAUUAUACUAUCCCGACAAUGAAAUUCAACAGUACAAGUAUAUACGUCCCUACAAGGAAAAAAACAGUUAUAACCAGUCUUAACUCAACUCCUACUCAUCUCAGUUAUCACCCUUUCUCAAUCAUAUGCAACUUCCACGAAAAUGAACUAAAUCUUACUCAUUAUCAAGAAUUCACCCACUAAAGCAUUUGUAGUAUCACUAAGAAUACAAUAAGUAUCAGUUUAGCACUCACGGUCAUGUUCGACUCCAACGUAUAGAUACUCGUCACCAUAUCUAUACACUGUACUCAAUAAGAAGCAAAUAAAAAAUAGGACUCAACUCCUAAUCCCUCAAGCUAAGGUUAGACCUGACACUUACCUCAAACUUCCAUGACUAACUCAAGCCUCAAGCACCGCCUUUCCUUUCGAAUUUGGCUCCAAAUCAAUCGUAUCUAUACAUAAUCGAUUUCAUAACAUCAAUAAACGCUACACAAUUCAAUUUCAAUGCCAAAUUAUAGCUUUCUAAUCAUUCUUUCCGAAAAUUCAAAAAUCGAUCUUGGGCUUGCUUAGUCAAAAUUCGAGGUUCGGACUAAAACCCGAUUACCCAUUCAUCCACGAGCCCGAAUAUAUAAUUUAUUUUCAAAUUCGACUCCAAAACGAGGUCUAAAUUGUAAUUAAUCAAAAAGCUCUAAUUCUACUCAAAUCCCUAAUUUUAUAUCCUUAAUCAUACUUUAGGCCUAGAAAUAUAGUGGGUAUUUAUGAAAAGAAAGAAAACAAGUUAAAGAUUACUUACCCAAGAGAUUAUGGUGAAGAAAUAUUUCAAAAAUCACCUAAGAGCUUUGGAGUAGAAGAAGUUUGUGAAAUUUUUAUAAAAUCCUGAAAGUGUUCUAUUUUCUGGUCUUUUAAAAAUCACUAGGCGAAAAUGCCCUUUGCAUUCGCUAUGGGUCAGGCUGGAUAAGCCUUCGUGUUCGCAUAGACAGACUCGCGUUCACGGAGAAGAAUCCCCUAGAGCCCUCGCGUCCGCGUCCAAAGGGUCGUGUUCGCGUAUGGUAAUUGCCCCACCCUUGUCCAGGCCCACUUGGCCUUCGCGUUGGUGUGGCCAGGACCGCGGUCGCAAAGGUAUAGCCCCCACUGCGCGUUUACAACCUGGGCUACGCGUUCGCGUAGAAGGAAAUUCCCUUCCUCAAAAUUUACACCUCGCGUUCGCGUGGGUACUCCCGCGAACGCGAAGAAGGAGGCGUCAGAAAUCCAACAGCUGAAAACCUGCAAUAUUUUCUAAGCCAAAAACCUCCUGAAACACAUUUGAAACACACCCGAACCCUCGGGGCUCCUAACCAAACAUUCGUACUAACUCAACAACAUCAUACGAACUUAUUCGUGAGAUCAGAUAGCCUAAUAACCUCAAAGCCAUGAAUCAAGCAUCAAAAUCAUGAAUUUUUUCUCAAACUACAUCAAUUUUCAAAUUUAGAAAUUCAAGUCUGAAUCACGUCAAACGACGUCCGUUUUUAACCAAAUUUUACUAGGACUUAAAACAUAUAUAAGACAUGUACCUGCACCAAAACCAACACACAUACCCGAUAUCAUCGCUUUCAAAUAAAAUUUCAUUUCCAAUUUUCUUAAACAUAUCAGAAAAAUAAUUUUCUUUAAUAUCUGUGUGAUCAAAUAGUCAAAAUAACCUCAACAACAACAAAUUAAACCUCAAAAUCAAAGGAUUUUUCUCAAACUUCAUAAAAAAUCAAUUUUAGCAAUUUAGGUCCAAAUCAGGUCAAAAGAUAUCCAUUUUUCACCAAAAUUCAUAGAAACAUCUUAAAUCAUAUGUAGUACCGAGCGUCGGAACCAAAAUACGGGCCAAAUACUAACAUGUCCUAAUCAAAUUUCAUUUCAAAUUUCCUUAAACAAUUUCAGAAAACAGUUUUCUUUAAAAAUUCAUUUCUCGGGCUUGAGACCCCAGAAUUUCAGGCAUACGCUCAAGUCCCAUAUUUUCUUACGGAUCCUCCGGGACCAUAAAAUAUGGGUCCGGGUUCGUCUAUCCAAAACGUUGAUCGAAGUCAAAUUAACUCAUUUUAUAGCCAAAUUUUACCAUUUUCCACAGAUUUUCAUAUUUAAGCUUUCCGACUACGCGCCCGAACUGCGCACGCAAAUCGAGGUGACUCUAAAUGAGGUUUUCAAGGCCUCGGAAACACACAAUUUUAUUUAAAAACAAGUGAUCACAAAUUCUUCUUAUAAAAUCUAUCUUCUCAUCUUCUUUAAGCUGUUUAGACCAAAUUAUUUAUGAAUUUUAGCUUUCCCUAAGCAUUUUCCGCGAGUUAGUUUGUUAAUAAAAAUCAUUCUACAUUUAACAAGUUAAAAACAUUUAACAAAAAACAGUCACCCAAUCUAGUUUCUCUGAUUAUUCUCCAAAAUUGAAAUAAAUAUAGAAAAGAGAUUCCAUUAUAAGAUCGAAGCAAGCAAAUUAGAGCUGACGUAACUAAAACCAACCAGUGGAAUAAUUAAAUACGAAAUGACACCAAUAUCUACUUACACAUGGCAAUUAUGAUUAAUGCAAUUAUAAAUGACUAAGGUUAUCGAAUUGCUGGCAAUUACGCCCUAAAUGGGCUAACAAUCGCCAAGUCUUAUAGCAAAGUGUGCAAAAGGCUUCGGUAAGUGAUGCAUGCCAUCAUAUUUACUUUGUAAAGGAUAGUAGCACCAUUUAUGACCUCUUAAAUUCUAAUUAAAUCAGACACAUGUCGAGGUGUGCAUAAAUUAACCCGACACCAUUUUUAUCAACAAAAAUAAAAGAAAGAGGAAAAAGGAAGAAAAGAAUGUGACCUAGUUUUAUUCAUGUUAAGGGCUGCCACUAUGUGAGAGUGGAAACAUUGUUACGUGUCAGGGUCUUGGUUUCAUGAAUAUUAAAUAAUAUAAUGUUGUAGGAUAUUUGGAAACAGCCUCUCUACUUUAGGGUAGGGGUAAGAUGUGCGUAUACACUACCCUUCUCAGACCCAACUAAGUGGAAUUAUACUGGGUUGUUGGUUGUUGUAUAUUGUUGUAGGAUAUUCCAAUUUAUUAAACAGUGAUCCUGAUUUUCCAUUACCAGUUAACGUUUUAGAAAAUACGUGUCUCACUUUAGAAGUCACAAAGCUCAAACUUGGGAUAAUUUAUUCUUUCUUCGGUCAAUGAUUAUGAUGCUAAUAUUUGCACCUGGGCAAUGCUUACUCAAAUAGUUCAACGUAUCUUUUAUAUUUUGUAGCUCGUGCUCUCACGUUCAUAAUUAAGUGCCAAAAUCUCACCAACAGCUCGUUGAAAUUGACAUAUAUUUCCAACAUGCAAACCACUUCUACUACAGACUAUUUAAAUUUCACUCUUGUGCUUCUCGUUGUAUCUCAUAAGCCAUGGCAAAGUUAACUUUUCUCCAACUACUUUCAUGGCUUCUAAUAAUAUGUUCAGUUUCUACCAUAGUAUUAGCUAGUAAAUCAAGUCAUGAAGAUGAAACUAAAGCUGUAGAUGAUUAUCUUCCAAGUUAUUAUCCUCAGCCUCACAAAAACCUCCUUAAUGUCAUCGAUUCGUGCUGGAGAUUGAACCACGAGUGGUCAUCCAAUCGCAAGGCUUUAGCAGAUUGUGCAAUAGGCUUUGGAAGUAAUGCUAUGGGAGGUAAAUAUGGUGACAUUUACGUGGUCACUGACCCUUCUGAUGAUCCUGCAAAUCCUGAACCAGGCACUCUUAGGUAUGGUGCAAUUCAGUCCGAGCCACUUUGGAUCAUUUUCAAAAGUGACAUGGUACUUACACUUAAGAAUGAACUAAUGGUGAAUAGUCACAAGACUAUAGAUGGCAGAGGUGCAAAAAUUGAGAUUUCUAAUGGUCCAUGCAUUACAUUGGACUAUGUUACAAAUGUUAUUAUUCAUGGGAUUAGUAUUCAUGAUUGUAAGCCUGGUAAAAAAGGGAUGGUUCGUAGUAGUCCUGAACAUGUUGGUGAAAGAUUAGGCUCUGAUGGUGAUGCCAUAAGUGUGUUUGGAUCGUCGAAUGUUUGGAUUGAUCAUUGUUAUCUUGCUCGUGCAACGGAUGGUCUACUCGAUGUUAUUCAUGCUUCAACUGCAGUAACUAUAUCGAACAAUUACUUCACUGAGCAUGACAAAGUAAGUCUCCAACUUUUCCAAUGCACAUUACUGCUUUCGAGUCAAACUAUAUGUAGUUGGAUUUAAUAUGUACAUUUAUGCUAAGUUUGCACCCCAACUGAUCACUUGAAAUUGAGGUAUGGCCGAGUCAAACUAUAUGAAGUUGGAUAAUUUUUUUUAAUAUGUACAUUUAUGCUAAGUUUGCGCCCCAAGUGACUUGAAAUUGAGGUAUGGUUAAUUGAUUUAGUUGUAAAAUAAUAACUGAAAUAAAAUCUUGGUUCUGCCUUUGACAGAGGGUCGACUGGAAACAGCCUCUCUGUCCUUUCGGGUAGGGGUAAGGCCGUCUACAUAUUACCCUCCCAGACCCCCCUUUGUGGGACUAUACUGGGUAGUAGUUGUUGUUGUUGUUGUUCUGCCUUUGACAGAAAGAUGCAGUGAACUUUUUAAUUCUAACCUUAAAUCAAUUUCCAGGUUAUGUUGUUGGGGCACAAUGAUGAAUAUACUGCAGACAGAAGCAUGAAAGUCACGGUAGUUUUCAACCAUUUUGGCCGUGAACUAGUUCAAAGAAUGCCAAGGUACCUAAUUAGGAUUAAUCACAAUACUUUGAAACAACUGUAAAUAGAUUUUGUAGUUGGACCAAGUAUGACAAUAAUUUAAGAUAAUGCAACAGACUAUCCAAGAUUAAUCACAAUACUUUGAAACAACUGUGAAUAGAUAUUUAUGCAGUAAUUUAAGAUAAUGCAACAUUUGACAAUAAUUUGUGUUACAGGGUUAGGUAUGGUUAUGCUCAUGUGGCUAAUAAUUAUUAUGAUCAAUGGUUAAUGUAUGCCAUUGGUGGGAGUGCAGAUCCAACUAUAUUCAGUGAGGGAAAUUAUUUCAUUGCUCCAGACUCAUACGACAAAGAGGUAUGCAAACAUUAAGCUUUGUUCUUCAGUGUCUAGAAGAUCAGAUAUUUUCACUUCUUCAUUCUUUUUCCACUUUGAAACUAGAGACAAAUAACAACUUAGACUAAUGUCAUCGCCGUUGCUAUAUAUAGAUGAUGUUAUAAUAGUCAUGAUAUAUAUAACAGGUCACCAAGAGGGAAACUCAUGAAGGGGGAUGGAAAAGUUGGAAAUGGAGGUCCUCAAAAGAUGUGUUUGUGAAUGGAGCAUAUUUUAUUCCAUCUGGAUAUGGAAGUAUUGCUCCAAAAUACACAAGAGGACAAUCGUUUAUCGUUGCUCAAGGAUCAUUAACUCCCUCUUUAACUUCUGACGCUGGCCCUCUUCAAUGUGUUGUCAAUGAACCUUGCUAAUCAUACAAAACAUUUCUUCUUUCCUUUUCCUAUCACCUGCAUGCCCUGUAUAUCUUUGGCAGCAUUUUGUAAUGCCUCACAUUUUUAACAUAAGCUUAACGUAUACCAUAUUAAGUUCAAGAAAGGUUCAGGCUUUUGGAGUUUUAAGUUUCUUUGAGAUUGUAUCCCUUAUAGUUUAUAGUACACAGUUUGUUUUGUUGAGAAUGGCAAUGGAUUCUAUAAGGGUGUAAUAUAAUAUCAAAGGAGUAACUUUUGUAUCGCAUGUUGAGUUGUAUAUGCUUCUAUCAUCUUCAUUACUUCUGCUAGCAAUAGUACAGAUUGCAACAAAAGUUCAAGCUCAAAACUGGACAUCACAGAUAACCAAAUAGAUGAACUAUACAAUCAACCAACUUAAACUGGUUUUUGGGUAAUCUUGGAAUCUUUACUUGGACUCGAAUUUGGUUCACAUAGGCAAGGGAGCUGAAAAAAGAAGAAUUAACUCAAAUAGCCGCUCACCUAAUCUCUUGAACUAAAAAUAGCCAGCAGAUAUAUAAUAUAUGUUUAAUUCAUGUAUAACUGCGUAUAAUCAAUGUAUAUCGGUUAUAAAAAAUAAAUAAUGAAUUUGGUCGGCUAUUGUGUAACAAACAUGACUGCAAGGUGCAGAGCAGCAGAGUUUUCCCUAAGACAUUCCUUACUCUACAUACAAGCAAUGCCAAACAUGCAAGACCAAAAAGUUGGUUCCUUUAACUUACAAACAGAACCAAUUAAAGUGCAAGAUUAUGCUAUAUAAGAAAAUUAAAAGAAAGAAGGGAAAAAAACUUGAAAAAUGGUAAAGAAAAGAAGAAAUACAGCAAUUUCUUUUUUACUUCAAAAGAUGCUCUCAGAAAAGUCUAUUCUCAUUGGUUUGAACACCAUGAGUUACUGGUGCUUUGGCUCUCAGUUUCUUCAAGUACCACACACCAGCUCCUAUUCCAAAUGCCCCUGCAACUGACACUGCAGUUGCUGUUCCUGCAACAUUUCAAAUAGAUUUUGUAUAAGAAAUCUUAGAAAAGACAGUCCAGUGCACUAAGUUCCCGCUAUGCGCGGGGUGGUCCGGGGAAGAUCCGGACCACAAGGGUCUAUAGUAUACAGCCUUACCCUGCAUUUCUGCAAGAGGCUGCAAGAAAUGUAUGAAGUUGAAAGCUCUUAGCAAAUUAAUUGGUCAUUGAUCAAGAAAAUCUAAUAGGUACCUGCAACAACUCCUCUUCUGUGAGAGCUCGUGCGAUCUGCAAAUCAUUAAAAAUAAAUCAACUUGAGCAAUAUAUACUUAAUCAAAUAUUUACCUUAACAUAGUUAAUAAAUAUUCCCUUAGUACUGAUGCAUUUUGAAAAUUAAGCAAUGAUGACAAAAAUAGAAAAUAGACAGCAUUUUAAGAUACUACAAUAACGUUUCGGAACAUCAUGAGUUUAAGUUAUAGGCAUCGAAAGUAUAAAAAAUAUUUACGCAAUGGUAAUUGCUAGUAACUUUAUAUAAUAAAAUUCAAUGAAUAACUUACUCUAACAUGUUAAAUUAUACCGAGUAUAUAUAACUUAAAUUCUUCAGACAUACCAUUACAAUAGGUGGUACUGUUCCCUUUGUCACAUAAGCACAAAAAAUCCUGUGUUUCUGUAUCAAAGCCACAUGUGCCCCCUCCCUUAGCAGUAUCUUGACACUGCAGGCAUCGCGUUGUCACUGGAAUAUCAAAAUCAACUCUAAUCCCAUACUCAGGAGCCUGAUCAAACGCGGGCGUUGAACCAAGAUUCCUCCAAUAAACACUAGUAUAGCUAGCACAAUGCUUCAACAUUAGCCUCAAAGAUUCAGUAGCUUUGGGAUAGUAAGAACAACAAGAGCUACUCCUCAAUGCAGAAGGACAUUCAAGUAUGUGCCUACAAAGAUAACUCGAACUAUCACACGUCGAAUCACACUGAUCAGGAAAACGCUCGCAGAACAUUGGUUUUGGCUCAACUAUUACAUCACUUUCACUACAGUUGAAGAACAAGUAGUCAUUUUCAGGAGAUAAAGUGAGAUGUGUGCUAGUAUCUAGACUAAAUGGCCUGAUUGGUCGAAAAUUGUCACCGUCUAGGCAAUUCCACAUUAAGGGGUCAGUUACAAGAAUAUGUGGAUCAGUAUAGCUUAAAUUUCUAACAGGAUAUCUACCAGAAGGAGUUCUAAGUUGAAGUUGACCACCUGUACAAACAAGAACAUGCCUAUAGUAUGGACUUCCACAGCCAUCAUCAAUGCCAAAAGGGUACUGAAUUGGGAUAUCACCACAAGAAUUUCUGCAAAUUCUUGAUUGAGCUUCUGUGAUGCUCAGAAAUUGAAGUAUUAGAAACAUUAUUAAGAUGGACUGAGUUGAUGUCCAGUUGUUUGCUAAUGAAAUGGCCAUAUGAGACUAAAUUGCUUGAAGGUGUUGAGUUUGAUCUUCUGCACCAAGAUUUGUAUAGUCAAGGAAGACUGUAGCAUCAGGAAAGUGUUUAUGCUGAUUAAAAAGAGAAUCUUGCUGUUGGUUUUUGCUUUAUAUACCUUUCACUUUUUCUCUUUUUCUUUUCAGAAGCUUCAUUUUAUAACUAGGAAAUGCUUUUGCUUUAGAAAUUAUGAGCUAGGGAGCUUUUAACAGUAGUAAUAUUUACUUCCAUUAUGAUGACUAGCUUGACGUUACUUUUUAUCUUUUUUUCUUUUUAAAUGUAAUGUACAUGUUUAGCACAAUAUUUCAGUACACUACUUGCGAGCACUUGUUUAGCUAUGAACUUUUGAGUUUCAAUUUUCAAGUGAAAUAUAAAGGGAAAAAGCUAAAUACUAUUCAUCUGUCUCAAAUUAUGGGUUGUGAUUUCUGAAAAUAAUUGUUUUAAAUUAUUUGUCACUUUAGAAGUUCAAGACAUAAUUAGUUAUAUUUUUCGUAUUUUACUAUUAGUACUAUUGGUCCAAGAACAGGUAAAGUUUUGAAGAAUGACAAAUAAACUCAGUCAUGGACGAGGUCCAUCUUGUGAAGCACAGUCAUGAUCAACCUAUACAUGUAAGAUGCAUGUGAAGGAGAUAAGUUAUAAUGAUCAAGCAACAAUAUCUCCUGAUCUGAUCGAAAAGGUAGCAUAUUGCAUAAGCGGAGAAAGUCUUCUUAUAAGAAGAGAACACAAUCCGUAUAAAGAUAGUGUUGGAGUGUGAGAUGUUCAAGGACUCAACUAUGCUAGAAGAUCAGCAGUUGAGUUUCUAUCAAACUCUGACCUAUUAAAAGAUAGUGAUUGUUCUCUUUUACAGGUAUUGCACAAACGCAGAAGUUAAACUAAAUUGAGAGCAAAAGAGCAAGGUGAUUUUGCAAGCAAUUUAUGUGAGAUUUGAGUGUGCACUCCUGAAGCUACUUGAACGAGAUAGAAGAACCAAUUCCACCGUGUCUUUCUUUUAUUCUAGUUCAAUUGUAGUAGGUGGUUUAUAAUUGUAACUUUCAGCUUUCAUAGAAGCAGUUGUAUUAGGUACGUAGAUUUUUCAAAUAGAGUUAACUUAAAGUUGUCGCAACAGUUGAGGCUGUGUGCUAUAACGGGAUUAGAGUUAAUCCUUAAGUUUACGAAGAAUUUUAUAAAUGUUAUUUUGGAUCAGUGAUUUUGGUGAAAGUUUGGGAAAUCCCACUUAGUAGUAGGUUGUGGUUUUUCACCUUUUGAGCCAGGUGUUUUUCACGUAAAAAUCUCCGUGUUAUUUAUUUUAUGUACUUAUUAUUUCGUAAACGAUAGUAUUAAUACACCUAGAAGAACCAGAUUUUUCUAGAGCGAAAAUUGGGUACCACAGAGAUCACCUCCCUCCCCCCCCCUCCCCAUCGGUGUGGUAUUGACGUUUAGAACAUCAAUUGACAUCAGAGCGGGUUAUCCUUGAAGAGGCUAACACCUUAGGAAAAGAUCAACAUAAGUGCACCACCUAGGAACUGGAAAGGACAAUCUACUGCUAGGCCUCCACUCUUCAAUCAGUACUAUUCUUGGUGGAAGAACGGGAUGAGGGAUCACAUCAUACGAGAAGGCUAUGAACUCUGGGACAUAAUCAUUGAUGGUCCUCUAGAAACUACAAAAAAGAAUGUUGAAGGAGUGGAUGUGCUAAAGAUAAGAGCUGACUGCACUGCUGGAGACUUGAAGAUGUGGGAGAAGAAUGCCAAUGCCAAGAAAUGGCUUAUGUGUGGACUACGUCUAGAUGAGUACAGUAGAAUUCAAAGGUGUACCACUGCUAAGGAAAUCUGGGACACCUUGCAAGUAGCUCAUGAAGGAACACCUCAAGAGAAGAGGUCCAGAGGAACACUGCUGUAUUCUCAAUAUGAGAAUUUCACCAUGAAGGAAGGAGAAACCAUCCAAGAGAUAUAGACAAGGUUCAUCACACUGACAAAUGAACUUAAGUCUCUUGGAAAGAUUAUUCUUGAAGAAGACAAAGUUGAGAAGAUUUUGACAAGGGUUCUAUCAGUCCCUUGGGAAAGCAAAAUCAAUACUAUUUAGGAAUCAAAGAAUAUUGCUACCCUCAAGAUGGAUGAACUAAUUGGACACCUUACUGCCUAUGAACUGAGAAGGCAAACCAUGAAAAUGGGUGCACCCAAGAAGGAAACAACUCUGGCUCUCAGAAUUGAUGAAGGUUCAGAUUUGGAGGAUGAUGAAAUUGUUAUGAUCACAAGAGACUUCAAAUAUUACCUGAUGAGAGGAAAGAGUUCUUCAAGAGGUACAACUUUCAACAAACCAAGAGCUCGUGAUAAAUCGACCGAUGAGGGUUGCUAUAAACUUGGUAUGACUGAUCACAUGAUCAAGUGGAAAAAGGAAAGGGCUAAACAAAGGAAUAGGUCCAACCAAAAAGCACUAAAGGAUCAACAAAGGGUAUGGUUGCUUCCUGGGGAGAAACAUCAUAUGAGGACUCAGAAGAUGAAGCUGGAGAUGAACAAGCACUUAUAGCCAUCGAAAAAUCAGAUGAUGAACAAGAGGUACGUGUUCUUCAUCCCAAAGACAAGAUUAAAUUCUUAUCAAGAAAAGUUGUCUGAGAUACUGCUAGAUUUCAUUGAUGAGUCUGAGGUAAUUAACAAUGAGAAGGAAGAACUGUCUAGGGAAUGUGCAAUCCUAAAAUUCAAGUGCAAAAAUCUAGAAUGUAGGGCUAAUGAGAGUGAAAGUAAGAAUGAAGAUUUGAAGAACCACGUUCUUGAUUCGUGACCUAGAACUUAGGUCUGAGAACUUAAAACUAAAAUUAGGAACAGGAAAGAAGAAAGCUGAUCACACACAUCUCGCCCUAAAAGGAAAGUUAGGAAAAAUGAAGGAUGAAUCGUACAUGAAGGAUAUGUUGAUGUUAAUUAUGCAGGUUUUCUAGUGGAUAGCAAAGCACCUCGGUAUGAUACACUUCCUUGGUUCAUGUCUUGUGUCAUGGGCUACUGAAAAGCAAAAUCCAGUGGUCUUGUUUACUGCUGAAGCUGAAUAUGCUGUUGUUGCUUCUUGUUGUGCUUAAUUGCUAUGGAUCAAACAACAGCUGGUAGAUUUUGGCAUUGAAGUUGGUUGCAUUCCUAUAUUCUAUGAUAACACUAGUGCUAUAAGUAUGACAAAGAAUCCGGUUCAUCAUAAAAGGACUAAGUACAUAGAUGUUAGGCACAAUUUCUUCAGAGAUAACUAUGAGAAAGGAUAGAUCUCCAUAGAAUUAUGUGCUACUGAUAAUAAAAUUGCUGACAUCUUCACUAUAGCACUAAGUAGAGAAAACUUUGAGAGGAACAUAUUAGAAUUAAGGAUGAUUAAUAUUACAUAAUAGGUCCAGAUCAGAAUGCACAAUGAAAAAUUGAAUAUAUAUAUAUAUAUAUAUAUAUAUAUAUAUACCACUUUCAUAUCUAUCAAAUAUAAAAAAUUUUGACCACGGAAUGAAAGUGAUUUUUGCCCGUCUAAUUUGCCUUCGAAUUAGGCUACUUAAAAUUAUCUCCUGGGCACUUAUGUAGUAAAGCGGGCGAAUACACAAUUUUUUAAUGCACGCUUAAGUGAAGAAAAACUAAAAAAAGAAAAAUCAGUUGGGGAUAUAUUUUAACCACUUUCUUAUUGCUUCUUCUUAAUAUAAAAUAUAUAUUUUAUUCGUUAAUAGAUGAUUUGUUUCAGCAAAAGAACAAAGUGGGGAGCUUCAUGGUUAUAUAUAUAUAUAUAUAAAUAUAUAUAUGAAUUUUGAACUUGUGAAAAUACCUACGUUAAUUCUUACUCAGCUUCUUACUUUAAUUAGUAUAUUCCUGUGACAUGUGUUUAUAUGAGUCACUAAUCUUUUAUAAAAUUUUCUCUAUUAUGGCAUUUGAGGCAUGAUCAAGAGAGUUCUAAAUGAAAAACCUGGUUCAUCAGUAUAGAAUCAUAUGAAAGCUAAGGCAUGUAUUCGAUUCUCUGCACAAUUAGAAAGAUUAAUAAUUCAAUCAUGAGAAAAAGUCCUAUACUUGUCAAAUUUCUAUAAAAUUCAAUCCGUUGAGCAUUGAACCAGUUCUGUCCAUCUAGAACUCUAAAACCGUAAUUUUUCCUAAUAUCUAGGAAGCCAAAUAAUCAUUAAAAUUCUGAAAUUUCAGUUUGAUUAGACUUCUAUUUGAUCCCUGAAAAGCUAUCGUUACUUAAUUAAUGUCUAAUUCUCUUUAAAUACACACCACAUCUCCAACCUUCUUUAUUAUCAUUCUAAAACCGUCAAAAAUUCUUCUUCAAUUCUAAUUGCCCUCUUCUCCAAAAUUCCCAAAUACUCUCAAGAAACAAACAAUCAUGUCUAACCCGCAAGAUCAUCCUGGCACUCCUCCACCACCAUCUCCCUUAAAUUCAUCCUCAUCUACUACACCUAGUGUAUCUGCAAAACCAAAAUUUUGAAGGCAGAAAAUGCUUGCUCGAAAAAUUGUAGCAUCUGAGGCUCUGAGAAAGGUUUUAAAUGAAAGGUUGAAAGCUAGCCAAGUGAAAUAAAGCACAGCUCAAAAUUCCGGCUCCAGUUCAGAGUUUGAAUCCUUUCAAUCUACGAGUGAAGGUGAAGGACAUGGGUCUUCUGACACUGAGAAGACUCAAGAAACCCCUACUAAGGCAAGUUCAUCUGUGGUUGAAAACUUAGAAACUAGGUUUGUUUUGGUUGGACCUAUUAGAGAUGUUAAAUUGGCUGAGUCGAAUAGGAGUGGAGGCAUAAAGAAAGGAAAAAAGAGAGAGGGUGCAAGUGGUGAAGAGAGGGGAAAUGGGAAGGGAAAUGUUCUUGCUAUAUGUGGGGUUGCACAAGAGAGGGUAGAAGAGAGUGGCAUGAAGUCAGGGGAAUUGGUUCUGGGGAAGUAGCUAAGGGGUUGGUUCAUCUAAGCAAACAAAUAGAUGAACCUAUUUCAUCUACUGAGGAAACCUUAGCUGACCUACUGAAAAGGGUUGGAGCAAGUUAUGACCCAAAGAAACGGAAAGGUACCAUACCAAAAGCCCAAAUGUUUCCCAGCCAUCUAAGAAAAUAAAAGCCUCAUCCCCAAUACCUACUGCCUCUUCAGUGCCUAGGGUUAAAGCCAUAAGAAGCAGGGUAAAAUAAAGUGAAGCUGAUCUAAAAAAGGCCUUAGAAGAAAGCAAAAAAAAUAGAGAAGGAAAAAAAAAAGGUAGUAGAAUCUUCUAAGGUUGUAGAUGAAGAGGAGAUGGAACUGGUCCAUCAAGAAAGGGGUACAAAUGUGGAGGUUCCUACACCUAAACCUAAAAAGUGCAAGACUUCCUCUAAGAAGUCUUCUUCUGUACCUGUGUUUGAUGAACCCUCACUAGCCAAGAGAACAAGAUCUGUAGUGAAAGCUAAAUAAACAAAAAUUUCAGAUGAUGAAGAGUGGACUGGAGAAGAAGAAAAUAAGAAAAUGAAUCUGAGAAGGAAGAGGACAAGUUUGUCAUCUUUGGCAGAAGAAAGAUUUUAAAAGGUAGAUUGUUGAAGGACCUGGUGGAACCAGGGACGAUGUGAUUGGUAGACUCUUUAGCUGCUUAGGGUUAGGAGGACAUGGUUCUUCAAAGGGAUGGUAGACUAGCCAGAAAUGAGCUAAUUGAGUUUAUGGCUAAUGAUGUUGUUAAGGAUAGAGCUGUUAGUAUCUUGGUAAGGGGAGUCCCAAAGCAGUUUAAUGCAGAGAAAUUAGGGGAGAUUCUAGACAUACUCUUUGAAGGAUUUAAUGACUAUACUAGGCAGAGGUGGCCAUGUCUGGACUCCCUCCUUACUGUCCUUGAAAUUACCAAAAGGUUCUGUGAUUCAGAGGAUGUGAAUGAAGCCAUAGCUGUGCAGAAAAGUGAGAUGAGGCCUGAGCACGUGGUCGUGUUUGAGUUUGUCAAUAAGUGCUCAUGGCCUAGAUAAGAGAGAAGGCACACUGCUAACUACAUGGAUCUAGUUCUGAUGGAGUGCCUUGAGAAGGGAAAGCAAAUCAACUGGCACACCCUCAUUAUCAAAUUGCUAAACAGGGUCAUAAAUGGCUUUAAGGCUCAUACUACUCUAUAUGGCUUCAUACUGACUAUAGUUCUAGACAUGCUAAACGUGCCCUUGAAUAAGUGGGAAAUGGCCUCGAGCAAGGAACACUUUGGCGUCAAAACUCUUCUUACUUGUGACCAUCCAGUCAAUGUCAUCCCAGUUAAACCUGGUUCAUCUCUGAAGACACCCAUCAACAACAAAGUUA